AAUAUACUCCCUCCGUCCCAAAAUUCUUGUCUUAGAUUUGCCUAGAUACGGAUGUAUGUGUACAUCCGUAUCUAGGCAAAUCUAAGACAAGAAUUUUGGGACGGAGGGAGUACAUU
rfam:Triticum aestivum genome assembly, contig: Triticum_aestivum_CS42_TGACv1_scaffold_049491_1BS